rnacentral:rRNA from 1 species
CCUACGGGGGGCAGCAGUGAGGAAUAUUGGUCAAUGGACGAGAGUCUGAACCAGCCAAGUAGCGUGAAGGAUGACUGCCCUAUGGGUUGUAAACUUCUUUUAUAUGGGAAUAAAAUGUUCCACGUGUGGGAUUUUGUAUGUACCAUAUGAAUAAGGAUCGGCUAACUCCGUGCCAGCAGCCGCGGUAAUACGGAGGAUUCGAGCGUUAUCCGGAUUUAUUGGGUUUAAAGGGAGCGUAGGUGGAUUGUUAAGUCAGUUGUGAAAGUUUGCGGCUCAACCGUAAAAUUGCAGUUGAAACUGGCAGUCUUGAGUACAGUAGAGGUGGGCGGAAGUCGUGGUGUAGCGGUGAAAUGCUUAGAUAUCACGAAGAACUCCGAUUGCGAAGGCAGUUCACUGGACUGCAACUGACACUGAGGCUCGAAAGUGUGGGUAUCAAACAGGAUUAGAUACCCGUGUAGUC